GACAGAGGAUGCAAGCGUUAUCCGGAAUGAUUGGGCGUAAAGCGUCUGUAGGUGGCUUUUUAAGUCCGCCGUCAAAUCCCAGGGCUCAACCCUGGACAGGCGGUGGAAACUACCAAGCUGGAGUACGGUAGGGGCAGAGGGAAUUUCCGGUGGAGCGGUGAAAUGCGUAGAGAUCGGAAGGAACACCAGUGGCGAAAGCGGCUUCCUGGUCCGACACCGACGUCAGGCACGAAAGCGUGGGGAGCAAACAGG
rnacentral:rRNA from 1 species